CAGGCCAUUGAAGGAAGGGAGGUGACCUCAGAAGGGGAUCAUCCACCUCAGACCAAGGGCUGGGGAGCCUUGGGACCAACCCUAGAGUCUGGGAGGGUUUGUUUGGUGCUAGUUCUAGCAGCAUCCCUGAUCAAACUUGCUUCCGGAAGGAUGGGCAUCCAGUCGCACCAUGUCUGUGACCAGUGGGAAGAUGGGACUAUCCCUGGCUCAGGAGAUCCUCAGCCACCUGGGCCUUGCCAACAAGAACGCAGUGAAAGGGAACUGCCGGUCAGCCCUACUAGCCCUGUGCAGGGCUGAAGACCUCUGAGACCUCAUCCCCAUAUGACCUUCAAGAAUCUGAGAUUCCCAUGUAUGGGUGAGCCUGCAGGAGACCAGCUGGGCCUCCAAAUAAGAUAACCCCUCACUUGAGCACCACAUGUUCCAGCUUCUUGUGGAGUCUGGAACUCCAAGUUCCUCUUAAAUCCCUUAAUUUCCCUCAUUUCAAAGUGAUAUCUGCACCUGGGUCCCCUAGCUCUGUCUUGGGUAUGCGAUAAUGGGAUCUCUUUGAUAGUUUCUGCUCUACUCAUUCUUUCCGUAUUCUGGCCAGCACAUCUCACUGAUAUUUGAAUUCUUUUGGCAAACUUCACUGUCAUUUGUGUUCCCUGAUUGAAGUUUGGGUGGAGCAGGACAUGGGCUGGGAGGAGGCCUUGAAGCUGGAGGUGCCUUUCAUGUUGGAUAUUCAACAGGAGUCCUGUUUGAGGCUCUAGACUGCAGUUGUCAACAACCCCCCUCCCCUCGGUGUCUCCCCUCCC